ACGUUUACGUUAUUACAUAGGUGGGUUUUAUUGGAUUUCUGUACAUCACAAUUGACAAGCUUCAGAUAUCUUCGUCUUCCUCAUCUCUUCAAUUUAUGCAGGAACGAGAUUCGAGUUUUUGCACCAUCUACAUAAAGGCUUCAGCUAUUGGGUUUUAGUUCAGGAUUAUGAAAGGAGGAUUACUGUUUGCUGUACUGUCUAUGUGUGGUGUAUUCGUGUGUACUUGCACUCUUUUUACUGGCAGGAGUUCUUUGGAGCAUGCUAAAUUUGAGCUUAUGGUAUAAUGAAGCACAAACAAAGAUGCAUGACAAUGUUUAGAAAAUUCAGGUAUGUUUUGGCUGAUCGGAGGCUGAGUCAUCAGAGUUUAGCAAGAUUCAGGUAUGUUUUGGCUUAUCGGAGGAAGAGUCAUCAGAGUUUAGCAAGGUAGCUGCCGGCGUUCGCAGUACUGCUUUUCUCUAUCCUCAUUUCAUUAGUCUGUAUUUGUACACUCCAGGCUUUCAGUUGUAUUUAUGCCCUAGUAGAUGCUCGUGACUUGUGACACCCCAGUUAGGGUUGUGUCGGGCUGGAUUUCCGCAUUUCUUAUUCAUACUUUCUGCUAUUUGGUACUAUUAAACCAUGUUUAUACUAUAUUUGUGUUAAAUUACUGUUUUAAAGGACGAGUUGGGUUAGACUGGCUGGCCUUGUCUUCACGAGAUGUGCCAUCACGACCAGGGUCGGGAUUUGGGUCGUGACAGUAAUGUUGCCUCUGCCUCUUCACUAAGACUGUUACUGCUUCUUGUUAUUAGCAAAUCAUCAACAUAUAUCAAAACAACCACAAUGUUUUUGUU